rnacentral:rRNA from 1 species
GUGGGGAAUAUUGGACAAUGGGCGCAAGCCUGAUCCAGCCAUGCCGCGUGAGUGAUGAAGGCCCUAGGGUUGUAAAGCUCUUUCACCGGUGAAGAUAAUGACGGUAACCGGAGAAGAAGCCCCGGCUAACUUCGUGCCAGCAGCCGCGGUAAUACGAAGGGGGCUAGCGUUGUUCGGAAUUACUGGGCGUAAAGCGCACGUAGGCGGACAUUUAAGUCAGGGGUGAAAUCCCGGGGCUCAACCCCGGAACUGCCUUUGAUACUGGGUGUCUGGAGUAUGGAAGAGGUAAGUGGAAUUCCGAGUGUAGAGGUGAAAUUCGUAGAUAUUCGGAGGAACACCAGUGGCGAAGGCGGCUUACUGGUCCAUUACUGACGCUGAGGUGCGAAAGCGUGGGGAGCAAACAGGAUUAGAAACCCGUGUAGUCC